AAUGGGGGGAACCCUGAUCCAGCAAUGCCGCGUGUGUGAAGAAGGCCUGAGGGUUGUAAAGCACUUUCAGUAGGGAGGAGGGUUGACAGGUUAAGAGCUAGUUGACUGGACGUUACCUACAUAAGAAGCACCGGCUAACUCCGUGCCAGCAGCCGCGGUAAUACGGAGGGUGCGAGCGUUAAUCGGAAUUACUGGGCGUAAAGGGUGCGUAGGUGGUUUAGUAAGUUAUCUGUGAAAUUCCUGGGCUCAACCUAGGGAUGUCAGAUGGUACUGUUAGACUCGAGUAUGGGAGAGGGUAGUGGAAUUUCCGGUGUAGCGGUGAAAUGCGUAGAGAUCGGAAGGAACACCAGUGGCGCAGGCGGCUACCUGGCCCAAUACUGACACUGAGGCACGAAAGCGUGGGGAGCAAA
rnacentral:rRNA from 1 species